GCUCGUGGAUCGAUGAAGACCGCAGCUAAAUGCGCGUCAGAAUGUGAACUGCAGGACACAUGAACACCGACAAGUUGAACGCAUAUUGCACACCGUACAACAGUACGAUGUACACAUUUUUGAGUGCCUAUGUUUAUCCAUUCAACUGUACGUGCGUGCGCGUCCCGCCACAGCGCUGGUGCGAGGACAGGCGCUCCGCGUACGCGCAGUGACGUUUUCCCGAGCCCACUCGGUAAAACGUUGGGCGCGGCUGAUCAAUACAUCCCCUAGACCAACGCGCUUGGUUACGUUGUAUUUCAUCGGCAGGACCUCACACCCCCCCAUACACAGUAGGCCUCAAAUAAUGUGUGACUACCCCCUAAAUUUAAGCA
rnacentral:rRNA from 1 species